rnacentral:lncRNA from 1 species
AGUUUCUGCGGCCCCGCCGUAGCGUCCGCCGUAGCCCCCGCCGUUUCCAUACUGCUGUCGCUGUGUUCUCCCACGGCAAGGUCUCAGCGGAAGCAGCCACCCAGGUCCUCGGUCGCCCACUCCGCGCGGCCACCAACCGGUACCUGCCCAAGACGGAAGGAGACGGCUUUCUUCCCGCAGCUGGUCAGCCAGGCGCCGCGGCCUGAGAAAACAGACCCUCAAAGAGGCCGCCGCAGCCACCGCGGCAGACCUGAGUUUUCCUCCCUCGGCCAGUCAGCCAGGCAUCGCGGGCUGAGAAAAUGUCUCCUCACCGAAGCCGCCCCCCGGAGAUCUUCCACCCCCGGAAACUCGUGCCCCAGCUCCUCGGGGCCUCGCGGGGGCCUUAGCACCGCCCCUUGCCCAGAAUUCAAGGCGUUAAGGCCUAGCUCCGCCCCCUCCCAUCUAAAUUCCAAGGCGACGCCUCUAGGUCCCGCCUCUCUCCGCGGCUCCACCCAUGAGCGCCCCAGACGAAGUUUAAGAAUCCGCUUCCUCUUUGCAAAACCUGCUGGCUCUGGUUCCAAAGGAAUCAGGUUUGUGACCCUUGUUCUUAAUCCUGAGAAGCAGAGAGGGACCGGAGUUAAGUGCAGGGGAACGGGAUCUGUUCGGCUGGCUCUGGAGUUGUGCUUGGAGAAAGAGGAAAAAAAAAACAAGCCGAAAGCGUCUGGAGGUGAAACUGACUGGAAUGUGCUGGGAAGCAGGGAAUUUUGUUACUGGAACAAAAGUGCAAGGCAAGGGUAUCUAGAGAUUGGCUGCUGCUACCCCAUGCCUUUGUGCAAAGGGGAGGAGGGCUGGAGAAGAGAGCUCAGCUGUAACUGUAAUGAGAGCUUUACUACUAUUUCAUAAGAUACAAGUUUGGUUCCCAGCACCCACCAGACAGUUCACAACCAUCUGUAACUCCAGUUUCAGGGGAUCCUGUGCCACCACUGCCCGGCUGCCUUUUUUUUUCUUUAAGACAAGUUCAUAAAUAUCCCAGACUGGCCUCAAAUUCCAUAUGUAGACAAAACUGACCUUGAACUUAUUUUCUGUCUUCAUGUGCUGGUGCUGGCAUUGUAAGUGUUGACACUGUGCUUGUUUCCAGUUUGCUUCCUUCCUUCCUUCCUUCCUUCCUUCCUCCCUUCUUCUUCCUUUGCUUCUUUCUUUUAUAGAUUUGUUUCUUUCCUGUCCAAGUUAAAACUGCUGGUACACCCAGUGGCUAAACUGUUCCUGCCCCUCUUAAUUCCUCUUUGGAAUCUUUGAGCUGAAGGCCAACCCCUAUAGAAAACAUCACCCUUCUCUGUUUUAUUAAGACACCUAGCAAGCUAGUUUUGGUGGCGUAAGCCAUUAGUCCCAAUACUUGAGAGACAAAGGCAGGAGGAUCUUUGUAAGUUCAAGGCCAGCCUCAUAUAUAGAGCAAGUUCCACAACAAUCAGGGCUACGCAGAGAAAGCCCAUCUUGAAAAUUCAAAAGUCACCUAGUGACAAAUGCUUUCUUUUGUCUCUGAGUUUACUUUGUCCAGCCCAGUGCAUCAAUAAGGAAAUUGGCUUUGGAGCUGAAUGAGCCAGGAAACUCCAUCUUUGGUUCUUAGUGGUCUAAAAUGGAUCCCUGAAUAUCUCGUCUUUAGAUUUCUCAUCUGUAAAUAUCAAAGUGUAAAUAUAGUUCCUAUUUUAGGAAGUAUUUUAUUGUGAAGGUUGAAUAAGAUAGCCCCUGCUAUAUGUGCACACAAUGUUUAGCAAUGAUAUCCCCAAACCUCACCUGUAAAAGCGUCGUUGGCAUCACCACCACCAUCAUCAUUAGUGUGAAAGCAUCCUGACUCUCCUUCCAAAUGUGGGUCAGUGCUGGUGGCGUCACAGUCCCAUCAUAUGUCCCCUGUAUGCUGGACUGGCUUUCCUCACUUGUGUGCUUCUUACAUUAAACCUUUCCUGCU